AUUGAGCGCUGGCGGCAUGCCUUACACAUGCAAGUCGAACGGUAACAGGUCUUCGGAUGCUGACGAGUGGCGAACGGGUGAGUAAUACAUCGGAACGUGCCUAGUAGUGGGGGAUAACUACUCGAAAGAGUGGCUAAUACCGCAUGAGAUCUACGGAUGAAAGCAGGGGAUCGCAAGACCUUGUGCUACUAGAGCGGCCGAUGGCAGAUUAGGUAGUUGGUGGGAUAAAAGCUUACCAAGCCGACGAUCUGUAGCUGGUCUAAGAGGACGAUCAGCCACACUGGGACUGAGACACGGCCCAGACUCCUACGGGAGGCAGCAGUGGGGAAUUUUGGACAAUGGGCGCAAGCCUGAUCCAGCAAUGCCGCGUGCAGGAUGAAGGCCUUCGGGUUGUAAACUGCUUUUGUACGGAACGAAAAGCCCUGGGUUAAUACCCUGGGGUCAUGACGGUACCGUAAGAAUAAGCACCGGCUAACUACGUGCCAGCAGCCGCCGUAACAC
rnacentral:rRNA from 1 species